CCCUUAGAUGUUCUGGGCCGCACGCGCGCUACACUGACUACUUCAACGAGUUGUUUCCUUGAUCGAAAGGUCUGGGUAAUCUUUGAAAGGUAGUCGUGAUGGGGAUAGAUCCUUGCAAUUUUUGAUCUUCAACGAGGAAUUCCUAGUAAACGCAAGUCAUCAGCUUGCAUUGAUUACGUCCCUGCCCUUUGUACACACCGCCCGCCGCACCUACCGAUUGAAUGGUCCGGUGAAUCUUUAGGACUGUGGCUGAGGCCUUGCCUUGUGCGGGUCUGGCCGUGGGAAUUUAGUUAAACCUUACCAUUUAGAGGAAGGUGAAGUCGUAACA
rnacentral:rRNA from 1 species